rnacentral:rRNA from 1 species
GACGAACGCUGGCGGCGUGCCUAAUACAUGCAAGUCGAACGCAGUGGGGACGGGUGAGUAACACGUGGGUAACCGCCCAUCAGAGCGGAAAACACUUGGAAACCGGUGCUAAACCGAUAGUGAUGGAUGGACCGUCGGGGCAUUAGCUAGUUGGUGAGGUAACGGCUCACCAAGGCCACGAUGCGUAGGCGACCUUAGAGGGUGAUCGGCCACACUGGGACUGGGACACGGCCCAGACUCCUACGGGAGGCAGCAGUAGGGAAUCUUGGGCAAUGGACGAAAGUCUGACCGAGCAACGCCGCGUGAGUGAAGAAGGUUUUCGGAUCGUAAAACUCUGUUGUUAGAGAAGCGGUAUCUAACCAGAAAGCCACGGCUAACUACGUGCCAGCAGCCGCGGUAAUUC